GAAACUAACAAGGAUUCCCCUAGUAACUGCGAGUGAACCGGGAAAAGCUCAAAUUUGUAAUCUGGCGGUCCUUGUGGCCGUCCGAGUUGUAAUCUAGAGAAGUGCUAUCCGCGCUGGACCGUGUACAAGUCUUCUGGAAUGAAGCAUCAUAGAGGGUGAGAAUCCCGUCUUUGACACGGACUGCCAGGGCUAUGUGAUGCACUUUCGAUGAGUCGAGUUGUUUGGGAAUGCAGCUCUAAAUGGGUGGUAAAUUCC
rnacentral:rRNA from 1 species